rnacentral:rRNA from 1 species
UACGGAGGAUGCAAGCGUUAUCCGGAAUCAUUGGGCGUAAAGGGUCCGUGAGGUGGUUUGCUAAGUCUACUGUGAAAGAUCAGGGCUCAACCCUGAAGAUGCGGUGGAAACUGGCAGGCUAGAAUACGGUAGGGGCAGGGGGAAUUCCCGGUGUAGCGGUGAAAUGCGUAGAGAUCGGAAAGAACACCAACGGCGAAAGCACUCUGCUGGGCCGACACUGACACUGAGAGACGAAAGCUAGGGGAGCGAAUGGG